AGAAAGGAGGUGGGCUUUUUUUUUUCACCCUGCUUUAAAAGCCCUUGGGCCCUUCCCAACUGGGUGCCAGCCAACUGUGGCUGCCUGGGACACUCCAUCUUAAGUCCCUGUGCCUCUGCUGUGUGUUACUGAGUGCCUAGGCCGUGCCAGCCUGUAUUCAUCUGUACUAUGACCUGAAGAGGCAGAGGCCAUCAUUGUUGGUCUGGUCUCCACCUGGGGAAACUGAGGUGUCUCUGUGGUGACGAGCAGGGCUUCAUCCAGUGCCUCUGUCCCCACCGAGGGGACUGUGGGAGCCAUGGAGGGUGUGUGAGCAACAGGUGAGACUGGAGCCAGCUGAAAACUGGGAGACCGACCCAGCCAACAAACAAUGUCGGUCUCUGUCCUGGCACCCGCAGGAAACAAGCUCCUACUUCCAGAAAAAGUGCUCCUGGGACUCCAGGAUACCAAAUCCUUCCCUGGCACCGGUUCCAAGAGGACCUGGUUCUUAGGCAGCAUCUGUGUCUCUGUUUUGUAAGACACACAGAGUAUCCUUAACCCACUGCAGAUAUUUCCCUGGGUCCAUGGUCAAUCAACACCACCUUUCAGUCUCCAGCCUCUUAACCAGCCCAGGGCUGAGUGUUGUUCAUAGUAUUAAUAUGUUUCUGGCUGGGCUCAGUGGCUCAUGCCUGUAAUCCCGGCACUAUGGGAGGCUGAGGCAGGCGGAGUUCAAGACCAGCCUGGCCAACAUAGUAAAACCCCGUCUCUACUAAAAAUACAAAAAUGAGCCGGGUGUGGUGGUGCGUGUCUAUAAUCCCAGCUACUCGGGAGGCUGAGGCAGGAGAAUUGCUUGAACCUGGGAGGUGGAGGCUACAGUGAGCUGAGAUCAUGCCACUGCACUCCAGCCUGGGCAAGAAAGUGAGACUCCAUCUCAAAACAAAGAAACAAACAAAGUAUUAAUAUGUUCCCCUUGAUCAGUGGGGUGGUUCACCCUUGUAAUCCCAGCACUUUGGGAGGCAGAGGCUGGAGGAUCGCUUGAGUCCAGGAGUUCGAGACCAGCCUGGGUGAA
rnacentral:lncRNA from 1 species